rnacentral:lncRNA from 1 species
GCUGUUGACAGCUCUUAAGUGAUGGCUUCCAAACAAAGAGGCAGCUGCAUAGGUGGAGUUGUCCUUCUUCAUCAGCUCGGCCCGGUCUUAUAGGUUCCAAGCGGUCGACUCUCUUUCACUCUUUCUCAGGCAAAGCUUGCAUUUCUGAAAGAUUGGAGGGCGCCAAUACAUUGAUAUACCUGGACAAUAUAUCUAUACACAGCGCCUCAAAGGAGCCAAGGUCAAUGAUAAG